AAAUAAUACCUCCACCCCAUGUUUAUUGAUGUGUCAAUUAGGGGCUCCAUUACUUGGAGGUCAUUAGCCCCAGCUCUCGCUAAUGACUGUGGCAUCCAACCAUAUCUAAUACUCUAUAAUAUAAACAUUAGUUGUUAACUAUAAAUUCACUCUACCUCUACUCUACCUACUCUUAUGCCACUCUCCACCACUGUAGCCUCGCAGUCGAGGCCUCCUAAGUCUGCAGGUAUGGGAGUGGAAUGCCUUGUCCCCCUGAGACACAGGAGGGCAGAUCUGAGGAGGGAGAAUGAGAGACGGCACCUCAUCCAUGCGACGACAUGGCUCCUUGGCUGGUGCUUCUUUUCUGCCAUUAGGUCGGCUAGUCUUGAGUAGAAGCACUGAGCCUUGGAGCCCAUCCCGCCAGAUGUGGUGAAGACCAAAGGUGUGAAGCUGCCCUGGUCAACGUGUUGGAUUCUCUCCCCAUACGCUCGGAUCUUCUCCUACUACUACAACUACUACUACUACUACUCUUUUUUACCUUUAAACUAGUGUAGCAAGACGGAACCACCACCACCACUACUACUAACUACUACUACUACUACUACUACUACUACUACUACUACUACUACUACUACUACUACUACUACUACUACUACUCUUUUUACCUUUACUAGUGCAGCAAGACGGAACCACCACUACCACCACCACCACCACCACCAUCACCACCACUACCACCACCACCAUCACCUCUUCCUCCUCCUCGGCCGGCCACGUCGAAAACCUCACGCCACCGCCUCCGCCACCACAACCACGGCGGCGAAACCUUAUCACCCGCCCCUGGGAGACCUCACAGGGCCCGUCAGAUGCCCAACUCACCGUAAACACGAGAAAAAUUGAGGAGGGCGACAAGAACCACGUGGUAAGCU